UACGGAGGGAGCUAGCGUUAUUCGGAUUUACUGGGCGUAAAGCGCACGUAGGCGGAUCGUUAAGUCGGGGGUGAAAUCCUGGAGCUCAACUCCAGAACUGCCUUCGAUACUGGCGAUCUAGAGUCCGGAAGAGGUGAGUGGAACUCCUAGUGUAGAGGUGGAAUUCGUAGAUAUUAGGAAGAACACCAGUGGCGAAGGCGGCUCACUGGUCCGGUACUGACGCUGAGGUGCGAAAGCGUGGGGAGCAAACAGG
rnacentral:rRNA from 1 species